rnacentral:rRNA from 1 species
CACAGCGAAAGGUGCUUGCACCUUUCAGUGAGUGGCGAACGGGUGAGUAACACGUGGACAACCUGCCUCAAGGCUGGGGAUAACAUUUGGAAACAGAUGCUAAUACCGAAUAAAACUUAGUGUCGCAUGACACAAAGUUAAAAGGCGCUUCGGCGUCACCUAGAGAUGGAUCCGCGGUGCAUUAGUUAGUUGGUGGGGUAAAGGCCUACCAAGACAAUGAUGCAUAGCCGAGUUGAGAGACUGAUCGGCCACAUUGGGACUGAGACACGGCCCAAACUCCUACGGGAGGCUGCAGUAGGGAAUCUUCCACAAUGGGCGAAAGCCUGAUGGAGCAACGCCGCGUGUGUGAUGAAGGCUUUCGGGUCGUAAAGCACUGUUGUAUGGGAAGAACAGCUAGAAUAGGAAAUGAUUUUAGUUUGACGGUACCAUACCAGAAAGGGACGGCUAAAUACGUGCCAGCAGCCGCGGUAAUACGUAUGUCCCGAGCGUUAUCCGGAUUUAUUGGGCGUAAAGCGAGCGCAGACGGUUUAUUAAGUCUGAUGUGAAAGCCCGGAGCUCAACUCCGGAAUGGCAUUGGAAACUGGUUAACUUGAGUGCAGUAGAGGUAAGUGGAACUCCAUGUGUAGCGGUGGAAUGCGUAGAUAUAUGGAAGAACACCAGUGGCGAAGGCGGCUUACUGGACUGCAACUGACGUUGAGGCUCGAAAGUGUGGGUAGCAAACAGGAUUAGAUACCCUGGUAGUCCACACCGUAAACGAUGAACACUA